AGCUCGAUGAUUAUUUUUGCCUUUAGGCAGUAUACGCUAUUCCGAUAAUUAGAAUGAGCGAUUAAGCUUUUCGGAAUGAGAGCU